rnacentral:lncRNA from 1 species
GCUGAAUUGAAAUAAGAAUUAUGUAUUGCAGCACAACAAUUGCUCGGGUAACUAAAUGUAAGAACCGGAACAUGUGCAACACAGUUACUUAGGGCAGAAGAACGAUACAUACAUUGUAAAGCACAAUGCACACGAAGAUGUUGAGUGGAAUCCUGAAGAAGUUCAUUAUGGUGCUCCUUGCCUCCUCAGGAAUGUAUUGAGACCUCAUCUUCAUGAUGGAUGGCCAGAAGAGGCCACAGCAACCCUCGAAGGUGCAGAAGCCAAGAAGCUGGAUACAUCCAGAAAAGGAGAUGCCUCCCCCUUUCACAUUUGAAGGAGAUACUAGGAACUGGUUCAAUGAAAUAUGUUAAAAACCAACAAACCACAAGGCAGAAAACUCAAAAGAAUAAAGGCAUUUCCUACUUACAGUUGUCAGAAUGGGCAGCAAGAGAGAUGCAGAAGAUACGACAAAAACAACUUGCAUGUAACUCUCAACUUUAGGUGAGUUCUGGGCCAUAAGACGAGCUGCAAAUGAGCUUCCCAACAUUGAAGCCAACAUGAAAGUUGCAAAAAUAAAACCAUGGGGAAUGUCUUCAUCAUUU